rnacentral:misc_RNA from 1 species
UACGAGAGGUGCGAGCGUUAUUCGGAAUUACUGGGCGUAAAGGGUGCGUAGACGGUAAGGUAAGUCAACUGUUAAAUUUUCCGGCCCAACCGGAAGUCAGCGGUAGAAACUGCUUUACUUGAGGAUGGAAGAGAGAAGUGGAAUUCUCGGAGUAGCGGUAAAAUGCGUAGAUCUCGAGAGGAACACCGAUGGCGAAAGCAGCUUCUUGGUCCAUGCCUGACGUUGAGGCACGAAAGCGUGGGGAGCAAACAGG